GUUGAGGACAGGUGACAGCACAGGACUUGGAUUCUUAAUGACUAUUACUCUGUAUUGUGACGUCCAGGUUGUAGAAUUCCGGGGGACC